rnacentral:rRNA from 1 species
GUGGGCUCUCAAGCGUGAGGUAAGGGCAAUUCGUGGAUGCCUUGGCGCAUACAGGCGAUGAAGGACGUGGCACGCUGCGAUAAGCGCGGGUGAGCUGUGAGCAAGCUUCGACCCCGCGAUUUCCGAAUGGGGAAACCCACCUAUCCGUUUAAUCUCGACCGUGGUCUUCGGACCGCGGGCGGGGUUAGGCGGAAACAGGUAUCUCGAGACUGAAUACAUAGGUUUCGAGAAGCGAACCCGGUGAACUGAAACAUCUCAGUAGCCGGAGGAAAAGACAUCAACCGAGAUUCCGUUAGUAGUGGCGAGCGAACGCGGACCAGGCCA